GAACGAGGGUAAAUUGGUAAUUACACGACUGAUAGUGACCCCGUCAGUUAGAGAGAAUCUUUCCGAGGUCGUUGUCAGCCAGUAGGGCUGCCAACUUUUCCCAGCGCUGCAUCUGUCUUCCAGCUCUGAAAUCCUUCUCUUGCCCACACCAGCUCUGUUCAAGUUACCCAUUGAUCGUGCCAGCUCUGAUUAGUCCCCAUCAUUGCUUAUUCUUUCUUUUCUUCAGCCCUGACACGCAUAGUACCUAAAUCUUCCUCGAGUGACCUUGGUGCUUUUAUCCUUCAUGUUCUUUCCCGCCAACAUUAUGCAAGUUCUUUCUUACGCCUCAUGUUCCAGCGCUGACUAACCCGACGUUGUCAGGUUCCCCUUACACAUAUUUUCCUCCUCAUCAUAAUAAGAAAUAAAUUAUAAAAUGUAAGUUAACUUUAAAUUUACAUAUAUAAAAAAAAAUAAAGUAAUAUGCAGUUUCUCGUAUAACGCAGGUCACAAACGAGUAAUAAUAAUAAUAAUAACAAGAUAAUUUUGUUAUAUAUGUAAAUAAAAUUUAUUGCUUCAAAAGAGUUUAAAUUAUCAACUUUGUAUGUACCACAUCAAGAAAGGUGGAAGAAUAAAACAAUACAACUAAAACAUAUCUAAACAAUAUUACACUCAAAAUUAAACACAUAAAGUGAAAUGAGCUAUUAUCAAAACCUUACAUAUGUUAAUUAUUUGACACACAGUGUCGUGUUCCAAGAGUUUUGAAGCUCCAAUAUGUGGUCUAAACUAUUUGCUGAAAAUUAAAUUAAAUGACAGUUUAAAAUAAAAUUUUGGUAUAUAUAGAAGAGGCAUUUAAUUAAUUGGCUAGGUGUUGAUUCUAAAAAAAUUAAUUGGCUACGUGUCCAUUUUCAGUUAACUAACACAUGGCCCUAUCACACACUCUUUAACAUAACCCUAUAAAUGCACAGCCUCAACAGUGUAGAAAUUAAUUGAACUGGUCCCAAAUUAUUAUUUAUAAAUCUAUAGGACUGAAAGGGAAGAAACAUUAUUGAAGCACAAAAUUCAUACUAUUAUUUUAUAUGGCUAUGGCCUUCAAUUGCAGUAGCUUUUGCAGAUCAAGAAAUCCCUAUUUCUCUUGCAGGCUUAAGGUACAACUUCUUCCUCAGGCAAGAUCCCAGAAUUUUCGAGAUGAAGGAAAUUCUCGAAACACAGUGGAUGCAAACAUGAGUGUUUUGAGAAGCAGAAUGGAAAGAGUGAGGAUGAAAGAAAGGCUCAACACAUAUUAUUACAACAAUGGAUGGAACUACAGAUCUCAAUACGACGACGUAAACAAGAUGCAAAAUUUUCUUGUUACCUCAUUCCAACUUGCCCAUAUAGUUUGCACCACAAUUGCCCUAGUUUUUCUCACUGGCUCUCUUUCCAUAUUCCUAUUUUCCUUCAUUUUCUCUCCAUCCAUAAAUUAAUAUAUAUAUAUAUAUAUAUAUAUGUAUGUAUAUAUAUAUAUCUUCUCCAACUUCUACCUCUUUUACUUUACUUUUAUGAAUCAUAUAUAUGCAUACGUAUAUAUAUAUGUUUCUCUUAAUAUAGUAUGACGAGUAUAGAAUAUACAAAAUCAAAAAAAGAAAAGAAUGAAAAUAAUAUUCGACUUUUAAUC